AGUGGGGAAUAUUGGACAAUGGGCGCAAGCCUGAUCCAGCAAUGCCGCGUGAGUGAUGAAGGCCUUCGGGUCGUAAACGUCUUUUACCAGGGAUGAUAAUGACAGCACCUGGAGAAUAAGCUCCGGCUAACUCCGUGCCAGCAGCCGCGG
rnacentral:rRNA from 1 species